AACAGACUUGCUUGAUGCAGAGUUGCCACAAAUCUUCAAUUUGUAAAAAAUGCAAUUAUCUAUGAUGUACAAUAAAGCAUAGGAGAAGAAAGAAAGAGA